rnacentral:tRNA from 1 species
GCCUGUGUGGCUCAGUGGUUAAGCAUCUGAGUUCAGCUCAGAUCAUGAUUUCACGGUUUGUGAGUUUGAGCCCCACAUCAGGCU